UUUUUCCAAUCGAGAUUAGAAAAAGUUUUAUGACGGGACAAAGUCCACUAUUAAGUAUAGGUAUUUUCCAUCAACAUAAUGGAGAGUGCAUACAAAUACUGCAUCAUCUGUAAUUAAAAUUGUUUAGUAAACAGACCGGCUGUUAAGGAGUAUGUAAGUAAAACAACAAAGUAUUCCUCAUGUUGGUAAAUAAGUUGGUCGUUCUCAUUAGACUUAAAUAAUCACCUGUGGUUUAAAGAUCACCUGUGGACGGGCUGAUUUGUUCAUGAUAUUUAAUUGUUGCUUGCUUCCUGGUUGGACGCAUGUAUGCACAUUUAAUGAAUUUGUUAUGCAUGUAUACAUCCUGAAACACUUUAGUGCUAGAUAAUUACAUAAAUGAACAAUUUACUCUAACCGGUAAACACUGAAUCGGUCCACUUAUGUAUCGCUAUUAUUGUUGUGUCCAGUUUUGUUUCGUUUAAAAACACAAACAGAGUACAAAAGAGAUCGGACUAACGCAUAAUUUCUUAGUCCAAUGCAAAACCACCUCAUAUUUCGACAACCUCAACAUAAUUUAAGUCAAAAUGCUGUUACUUUCCCCCACUGUUUUAGUCGUGAUGAACAUUUUGUUUGUGGGAAUCAUAACGGGAGAAAUGAUUGGAGACCUGGACCCAGCCAACAGUCCCCCGUGGAAAAGAAUACCAUCCUCCACAUUUGACAAUUACAGAAUCGUUCUGAACUACAAUCAAAGGUUCAAUAGAAAUAACAGGGACCGAUUUGUUGGGGAUUUUGGGGCCAAGUAGAAGUUGUGAGUUUAACUAAUUAAGUUGCACAUAUGUAAAUGCAUGUUCAUAAAUACUUAGUCAUACAUACAUAAUAUUUUCUCUUAAGAGUGUAAAUAUUACAAUAUUCUUGGAUACAAAUACACAAAUCAAUACUGACACAGUGACAACAUGUAGGCAAAGUGCGAGCACUGAUACAAAUGGCACUGGUGCCAAAUUAAAAGGAUACAAUGUAUUUUAUAGUUCAUUUUUGUAGUUGGUUUAAAAAUUGAAAUUUAUUUCUAGCAAUUUGAUAAAGUGUACCCUAGGAACAAAAUUUCGUCAAUUGUAACGAAAUUGCGGUUGAAUUUUAAGAAUAAAAAAUAAUUAGAGAUGUGUUAACGUCUAAACCAAUGAUGAAUUAUGACAUUGUGAACAAUACAGAAUUUAAAUAAUGUAUUUAAAUAUAAUAAUUUAUUAACUACUUUCUACUAUUCAAUUCAGAAUAAACUUUUGUCAAAUUACA